UCUAUAUAUGUGGAUAGAACAAUAUUUUUACGCUGUUAGAUUCUUUUUAUUUUUAUUUUUAUUAGGAUAGAAAUCUAUAUUGCAUUAGGAUAGAACAAUAUUUUAUUUCUACGCUGUUAGAUUCUUUUUUAAAAUAUAUAUUAUGGAAGUAGCGAGCUUAUUCUAAAAUAUGUGACUUUUAUAUAUGUGGAUUCUGAAAUAAAGAAAAUCAAAUUUAUCAUAUUAUUUUUUGAUGUCAAGGUAUCAAAUAUCAAAUAUUACAUAGGGUGCAUGAUGCAUUACGCAGAUAAUUACAGAUAACGUUAUAGCGCAGAAACUUGGGAUCAUAUAUAGCUUCUAUGAUGAGUCGGUUUUCUGCAUCACCCUAUGCAUGCAUGAUAUUUUUUUGAGAAUUGGUAGCACGCUACCUGUUUUAUUCAUUGAAUGGAUAAAUUUGGCUACAGAGGUGAGGCAGCCAGGGCCUCAAGAAAAACAACAGAACAGAGGAAAAAAAAAAAAAAAGUCAAUCAUAGCGCAGAUCUUUCCACGAAAAAAGUAGCAUCUUGAGCCUUUGAACAGCUAUAACCGGGUCAGGCAGAAGAUUACGAAAGAUAAAAUUGUUUCUAGCCUUCCAAAUCGUCCACCAGCAAGCGACCAAUUUGGAAAGCCUAUAGCGCUCCUAAUCCGCAUUCCAGGCCCAUCUUUCCACCUAUCCCAAACUACAAGUACAUCAUCCCCCAGCUCCUCUGUCUGGACGUCCUCAAAACCCAUCACCAUGAAAGCCUAUGCAUGCAUGAUAUUCUCUCAAAAAAUGUUGUAAUUUCCAAAUAGCUAAUUCUCAAUUAUGUUGCAAAUGUACAGAUUAUUGACUCAGGAUAACGAUAAGCUUUUAGGAGAAUAUUUUUUUUAACGUGGAACAAUAUGAAAAGUAAUAAUAAAAUUUUUAGUAAAGUUUUACAAAUAAAAAAAUCAAUAAAUAGAUGGAGGUAUUAGAGUUGAGAACGUCGUCACCAAAACGGUGCCUUUUUAUAUGCAGAGUGGGAAUGUUUGGUUCUAAAAGAGUAUUGUACUGGAGUGACUAGAAGAUGCUAGAAAAUUCCCGAGUGAUUACGCAUCACAUUACGAUCGGUUUUUUUAUUUGAACUUGAGUGGUCUCCUCCGCAUAUCUUUUAAACUUGAGGAAACGAUCUCGCGUGUUAAAUUCAUUCCCAUUUUUUUUUUUUUUUCUCCUUAGAAAACUCGACAUUUACUACUAUAUAUAGUACUUUUGGUUUUUUCUCUUGAGUGUAUGUAAAUAACUUUUCUCGAAUGAGUCUUUGUAAUAAUCCCACAUGCUUCCUUGCUCUAUAAUCCAAUUAAACAUAUCACCUCUGAGUUGUUGGAAUUAAUUAAUAUUCAUACUCUCUAUUACCCACAUGUUACUGAGUUAACUUGUUCCUCUCAACAACAUAUAGCAUUAGUAACUUGUUAUUAAGUUUACAUUUUUUUUUCUAUGAUAAUAUGAUUUAAUAAAGCUAAUGAUAAUUUUAGCGCAUGCAUUGUCAUAUGUUGAAAUUGCCAAUAAUUUCUAAGAUCAAAAUAACUAGGACAAAGUCGCUUAGGUCAAAAAGUGAAAGUAAAAUAAUAAUAUAAAAUACUCAAUUUCAUAAGGCUUCACCAAACUUUAUCCUUAUCCAUUUUUAAUUUAUUUAUUAAAGUUGUUCAAACAUUUCAAUCAAAAAAAGUAGAAAGAGUAACACAUGGUAGAUAAAAUAGUACACAUAUCCCAUCAAAUCGAAACCAAAAAAGUUACUAAACAAAAAUUAAAUCGACAAAUUUUGCACCGCUGUCCACUACUACGUGUCUCAAUUGUAUCCGCAUAAUGUUUGACACGUUAAAAACAUGCAAAGACCAAGGAGAUACAUUACAAGUAAAAAUGCACUGAGGCCCCUCACCUAUACCCCAAUUUGAAACCAAAUUCUAAUAUUUUAUUUGAAAUUUUUUAUAACUCUAUUGAUGAAUCAUUAAUUAUCUAAGAUUUAUUUAUUAUUAAAUAGUUAAUAUUAUCAAAUUCGUAGAAUGAUCGAUUAAAAUUAUUUGACUAUAAUUAUUUUCAAUUCUAAAGAGGUAAAAGCUAGGUCCUAGAAGAUGUUAAUUAAAAAAAUAAAGUUUAGGCGUGUAUUUCAGAAUGUCCUAUACUUGAGGGAGGUCUCUAUACAUUUUCAUCUUUAUAUAUAUAUAUAUAUAUAUAUAAAGUUUAUAUAUAUAAAGUGAACAAUGAGAGGUCCCCACGCUUCCGUUUGUAUAGUGACAAACAUAAAGCGCACCGCUCUACAUCAAAUGAGUUAGAUAUAUAUGGAUUACUCUCCUCUUUCCCACACCACAUCCUCCCUACUUAAUUAUUAUUGUUACUAUUAAUUCCUCUCCCUCUCCACAACUAUUGUCUCCUUACUCUGUAGUUCUCUACCUCCCAUGGCUGAUCUAAGCUUCAUUGUGGGAAUUGUGGGUACGAUAUAUAUAAUUUUAUGUUCUCCUUAACUUUUUUCUUUGUACUAGCUAGUAAUAGACACGUAACGUACACUUUGUGAUUAAUAUAUAUUUGCUAACUUUUGCAGGUAAUGUGAUCUCCAUAUUAGUCUUUGCAUCUCCAAUGUAAGUUCAUCGAUCAUCUAAAUAUAUAUAUAUAUAUANGAUCAUAUAUAUAUAUAUAUAUAUAUAUAUAUAUAUAUAUAUAUAUAUAUAUAUAUAUAUAUAUAUAUAUAUAUAUAUAUAUAUAUAUAUAUACUUACACUCAAUCUUUUUAUUUAGUAGUUAAUUAGUACUAAACGUGUUGUACAUAUAUCCUGUGUGUAUGAUCUGAUUCAGCGAUACGUUUCGUCGCAUAGUGAAGAAGAAAUCAAUUGAGAACUUCAAAGGGUUACCCUACGUGAUCACUCUAUUAAGCACUUCUCUAUGGACUUUCUACGGUCUCCUCAAGCCCGGGGGCCUUCUAAUCGUCACGGUGAAUGGCGCGGGCGCUGCACUAGAAGCUAUUUACGUGACUAUUUUUCUUAUCUACGCCCCGAAUGAUAUGAGAGUGAGUUAUUCAACUUUGUCGAUCCAUUUUUUAUUUCUUGUUUGAUUAAUUUGAUCAGUGCGUUCUGAAAUUGAAAUUGAAAUUGAAAUUGAAAUUUUUGAAUUCGGGUUUGGAUUUAGAUGAGGAUGGUAAAGUUGGUGGGGUUGUUGAACGUGGGGUUUCUCGGGGUGGUGGUGCUGGUGACGCUCCUGGCGUUGCAUGGGGGCGUCCGCAUAGUUGUCGUGGGGGUCCUAUGCGCCGGGUUGACUAUAGGAAUGUAUGCGGCACCACUCGCGGCCAUGGUAAUUAUGCAAAUUCCUUUCUCUUCUUAUUUGAUCUUAAUCUCUAUAUAUGUUUACUAAAAAUAAUACUUAACAGAAGGGAAAGUCAUAUUUCUCAAUUUACAAGUUGUUUUUAGGAGAUUGGUAGAUAAAAUUAAUUUAUUGAAUUUUUGUGAAUGCUAAUACCAUGCUAAUAAUUUGUUAGUUUGGGUGUUGGAGAUCUCUUACGCUUGUAAUCUUCAUUUCAUUGCUACUAUAUAUAACUACCUAAUCUAUUGUUUUUCCAUUGAAAUGUGUUAGAUUCUGGUAAAAUGUUGAAAAUUAAAAUAUAUACAUUGAGAUAUGUAUCAUUAAUAUCAUUAAUAUGAAACAGCUAAAUUUAGAAUUUGAGAUGUUUAUCAAGUCUUUUGAUACUUGCGAUAAGGAACGGGUGGGUAUAUGUAUGUUGAGAUAUAUAGAUGAGAGGCCACGCUGCUGCAGUUCCUUUUUCUGACAAUAAUUUAAUUUCUUUAUUGGAUCGUGGCAUGUCAGUGUACUAUUGGCACAGUGAAGAAUCUUUUCUAUUUUUCUUAAGUUAAUAACUUUUGAUGAAUAAUUAAAUAAAUUAGUUUUGCAAAGCUAGAACCAUAACAUAUUGUUUUACUAUAUAAAAACUAAUAGAAAAACUAGUUAGUUAUCAUCCUUUUCAAAACCACUUCAAUAUUGAAAAUUUGUGGUUUUCAUGGAAAGUUUAGAAAUUAAAACAUGUGGAGAGGGAAAAUUUGUGAUUUGGGUCCAGUUAAAUAUGCCUUAAUUUAAUUUUCUAAUUAAACAAUGGACAGUGACUACUUACCAAGAAUUGCUAGCAUACCUACCAUGGUCCAUUCUAGUGCAAAAAACAUAGAAGAAAUAUUAAUUGUGUACCGAACACUUUACAUGCAUGUCGAGUACCAUAAAAAGAUUAUACAAUUAUUACUACCUAUAUCCUUAUUUUGAUGGCUUAAUGUGUUCAAAUAGAGUAUGAUAAUACAUCUUUUGUAUAUCUUGUGUAUUUUGCGUUGCAGAGUAUGGUGGUGAGAACAAAGAGUGUGGAGUACAUGCCCUUCUUUCUCUCCUUCUUCCUCUUCCUCAAUGGUGGGGUUUGGAGCAUUUAUUCAGUGCUAGUGAGAGAUUAUUUCAUUGGUGUAAGUACUCAAUAAGUUUUAUGUUCAUUGGCCUUUUUUACUUAUAGGUCUUUUUACUUGGAACUUUUACUGUUUUCUCCUUAAUUAUGGAGUAUAUAUUUGGAGAUAUCUACUUGAAGAGGGUAAAUAUUAAUAUUUCUCCAAGGAAGGGGUAAAAAGAAAAAAUUGAAGGUAUGAAUCUUUCGCAUUUAUUUUAAUGGCCUUGUAUAUCAAUGACAUAUAAAUAUAUAGCUAAUUAAUUAAAAGAUUGGGAAGGCGAAAAAUGUUACUUCAUCUUUGACAUUAGAGGUUGUUUCCGUGAUUCAAAUUAAUGUUGUUAAAUUAUUGUUGUAAUUGAGUUAUUGAUGUACACUUUCAGGUCCCAAAUGCCAUUGGGUUCGUCUUGGGUUCAACUCAAUUGAUCCUCUAUGCCAUUUAUAGAAAGAAAACACCGCCACCGCCGAAGAAGGCGUCGGAGCCGGACGAGGAGGAGGGCUCAGCACACCUAAUGACCCAAGCGGAAAUGGCCCAACUAAAGCCCUUGAGUAAAGGGGCUAGCCUACCGAAGCCGGCCCGUCAACAUAGCCUAACUAACAACAUCAUGAAGUCUCUUUCCACGACUGCUUAUGAACUACAAUCAAUUUGGUAUCAGAACGAGUAUAUAAAGAGUCCAGAGGAGAACCACCUCUCGAAAUGAACCUAAGUAGUUGUCUUUGACUCUUACUAUGAGAUCAAGUGUACACAUGAACAUAAAUUUCAUUAUCUAUACACUUUCAAACUAUGUACAAUUUCAGAAGUUACUCUCUUUUUUGUGUGAUUGUAGUAAUUAAGCAUAUUCUGCUAGCUGUAAUGGGAUGUUAUUAUUUAUUAUUUAUGAGGAAAAAUUAUGAGGAUGAACCUAUUUGUUGCACUAAUUCAUUCCUUCCAAGUAUUUGUCUUGUAUGAGGCAAAAAAAACACAAAGUAAAAGUAUCUCAUGUUAUAGUACAGGGUUUGAGAGGCAAAAAAACACAAAGUAAAAGCAUUAAGUUUUUCUUGAAAGAACAAGCACCAGCUCAUCUAGUAACUCAAAUUCCCUUAGCCAAAUAUUACAGGUGGGGUAAAUUAAAUGUAUAGGAUGUCCCUGAUAUUUUACCCAAGUUUCACUUAAGUACUCCCUAUUUUUUUUGUGUUUGGCAUUACUUGUAGAUGUGGUAUUACUUCAGAUAUUCAGGUUGAGUAAAGAUACAUUAUACAUAGUAUUUUUUUAAGUUUUACAGAAAAAAAUUGUGCUUCCCAUGAAAUGUGCCUCUUCUGGGAAUAAUGUAGAAAACUCUGCAACAUCGUCCCAUAGUAGCUGGGAAAGGGUGAUAAGAAGUCAUUGUAAUGAAUCCAAUUACUUUUAUGGUUUCUCUAUAAUUUUCUCUAUAUGAAUAUAUGAUGCUCAGAAAGAGUCAUAUAGAAAGAGAAUCAUUUUUCGAUCCGAUGCGGAACUAUUGGGACGUUACAAACUCUCUUGUUAAGACUCCGACGUUCUCGUCAUGUCCAAACCAGCUCCCACCAAAAUCCGUAGCUCUCACACUUUCGACUAAUUAAUAUUCGGUUCUGAUGUCAAUUGUAACGAUUCGAUCCGUUAGUAAUAAUAACUUGUUGGACCAAACUACCAAUCCAAAAUACUUAGGUUCAGUUAUUAUUACUAGUGUAUAGGGCUUAUAUAUUCGAAUUAGAAUUAUUUUUCUAUCCGAUAUGAAAUUAUUGAGACAUAACAGAUAUAAUGCCUAUUUAGCUACGUGGUUAGAACCAAGUUAUCAGCGCAAGCACCGUAACGGGACACUCCGCGCUAGACCAAACAAGGCCAUAGAUGUUAAGGCCACGAUUAUGUUGUUGAUUUUUUUUCUUUUUUUCUUUUUUUUCGUUUUUCCUGCUAUGGAAAAGAGAGUGUUUUGCACCUAGAAUAAUUUUAAGCCUGCUUUCUAUUGCUUUCACUUGGAGCUAGCACUACUGAUCUUGCAGUCAUUACUAUUGUUAAGGAUGGUGGAGAUGGUUAUUAACACUUUUAAAGCUCUUUGCCUUUUUAGGCCACUGAAUAAUCUGAUUAAAGACUCACAGAUUCCACAGAUUUGCAAUAUUGGUUGCUUUCCUUGGUAAUCAAGUAUUACCAACUUUAGGCCAUUUAGUAAAAUCCAGCUCACUAUAAUGCACUUAAACUCUUCUAAUAUCAUGUAAAAUAAUUAUUAUACUAUAAAAAAUUUAAAUGAUUAGAGAACGAUAUUUAUAUAUUUUUAUAUUUAGCAUAUAUUCAAAUGGACACAGUCCGUCUCUUCAAGUAAGCAUAGAUAAGAUUAAAAAAAAAAAAAAAAUCUUUCGCUUUAUUUUUUAUUUAUUAUUAUUAUUAUUUUUUUAUGUUAAGGACGGUGUUGUGGGCUCGAGGCGAGAAAGAAAAGCACGACUCGAACAUUGAAUUUGAAAAAGGCAAGUAGGUGGAAUCUAAUGCAGAGCCAAAGCUGUCACGCAGUGCUUGCGGUGACGAAACGCGUCAGCUUCAUUAAUUGUUAAAAAUUAUUAUUUAUUAUUAUUGUAAGUUACCCGUUACAUAUGCGGAACAAGGACUACGCUUAAUUCGUGUCACCUCAUUUAUUAAGCACAAUUAAUAAAAUCAUUAGAUUAAUUAGUAAAGCUACAUGUACGCAGCUUGUAAUUUUCCAAAAAUAGGUUAAUUAAGAUGCAUGGAAUUUCAUAAGGGUGAAAUAAAGAAAAGAUAAUAAAAGAAUUAAAGAGUUUCAUAACGCGGCAUCGUAUAUAAAUAUAAUAUAAUAGUGUCUAUUUUUAUUUAUAAUCUUAACUCGGCCAACCUACUAUUAAACCGCAAGAAACUGCAGCAUCACACAAGCGGUCUUUUGAAGCAUACGGACGCCAACUGGAGACAGAUGGAAACUUCUAGAAGGUUCUGGACCAUCCAAUCAUACAUAUAUAGCACUGCUUCACUUUUUCGGAUUCAGAAGCACCUCUCGGAGCCCCGCAGCGUCCAUCUCCCCGGCCCGAUUCGCCGGUCGGUAGUACCCAGUCACCGGAUCCGGCAACCAUGCCACCGCAUCCGCCUCCGCAUCCGCCGAAGCGCCUCUCCUUCCGCGCAUAAACGUCGCCGCGGUUUCCUCCGCCGUCCCACCCCUCCUACCCGCUCCCAUCACCGCCGCCGCUCCAGAGUAAGCCCUCCUGUAUCAUGUGAAACAACCGUUUAUCUCUAUAAAUAUUAAAGUAUGUAAAAAAAAAAAAAAGGUGAAUGAACGAUUUUCGAGAUUUAAGAUUAGCUAUGAUUGGAUGUAAUCAUGUAAAUAAUAAUUUAUUUUUAAAUAUUUAGAGCGCUAAAUGAAAAAAAAUAAUUAUGGUAUAUUUUAAUUGGGGCGAGAUCUCGGCGUUACCGGUUGGCGAGGAGGGCGACGCCUUCGUAGAGAGCCGCGAACACGCCUGCGUUGGAGAGAGCGCGAGCCAUCUGAUCUUGAUCAAGCGGCCGGGAUCCCGCGCUACAGCGAUCGAAGAGAUCUCUUCUUCGCUACAGCGGGGGAACCGGCUCCGCCUCUCUCUCUCUCUCUCUCUCUCUCUCGCAAGUCGGGGAGGAGGAAGAAGCGGAGAGGAGCGCGGAUAUUUAUAGACGGGUCGAUGAGGACGGGACCCGUUGAGAUGUCGACACGUGUGAGUAGAUCAGCGGGGGUCGCUCCACUAAUACAAUUGGGCCGAAGCGGGAGGUGGCACCUUAGUGGGUCCCACAGGAGGGUGGGGGCCCACCGUGGGUAUUGCGCAUGGUCGACACGUGGCGAGCGGGGUGUCGUAGAAUCUAGACGAUUCUGGGGGAGUAACGAGUGGCGUUGGAGUUUGCGCCGCUUGGGUCGUCUAAGAGCCGGAUUCCGUCAAAGCCGAGUCCGUCCCUCCACACCGUUUUGACCCACCGAGUAAAUCAUUAUUUAUUAUUUAUUUUUUAUUAUUUUUUAACUCAUUGCAAUGUUGGUAAAUAUCUCGUAUUUUAAGAAACACAUCAACAGAAGCUUAAACAAUCCGAACCGUCCAUUUCAAUGUUUGGUUCAGAUUUUCCUAUAAUACUACUAUAUUUGGUUUAUAUGGUUUAUAAUCUUUGUUUGGUUUCAAUGUUGAGACAAAUCAACACCUAUUAAAGGAGAAUCGAAUGACAAAUUACCCAAAAAAAAAAAAACAAGAGGCCACGAUUAAACACGAAGUAAAGCAAAGGUGCAAUCCAUCAAAGAGCUCCGUGCACAAGGUGUUUGAAGAAACGCCCAAGAGAAAGCCAAAAAGCAACAACUUUUGCCCAAAUCCCCAAAUCCAAGAGAUCUAAUGGAGAAAACCCAAAUCCUAAAUUGAGGAAGCGGGCUAAAAAAAUUGAUAAAAACCAGAUUUUAGCAUUGCCCCAUAACAGAAACAAUAAGGAAUCAAACUGAGAUUGUGAGUUUUAGUACAUGGGUGUUUUUCUUUUUUAAAAAAAGGUCUUUUAAUGACUUUGGGGUGAGAAGGAUUUUUUAAGAUAUUUAGUUAAUGAUAUUGCUCAUAAAUGAGUUUUAAAAUUAAAAUUUAUUUAUUCUUAUAUGAUCAUACGAUUAUUUAAUAUAAUUUAUUUUAUUUAUUCUUAUAUGGAUUGAAACCGGUUGGCUUUAUAAAUUUGAUUUCUUGUGUGUUUUUUUUAAAUUUAUGUCUUAUAUUGCUUAUUAAUAAAAUUAAUCAAGUACAAAUUAUAUUAAUUUAUAAUUUAUAAAAAAAAUAAUAUUAAAUAUGAUCAUAAAUAUAAUUUUGGAAUAGACUAUAUACACUUCACUAUAAAAAUUUCUGAAUUUUAUAAAACAAACCAAACAAAGUAGUUCUAUAUACACAAUAAUUCAGUAUUUUAUUACUGUAUUGAAUCAAACGCAGUAAUAUAAUAUCAGUAAUAAUCAUAUUUAAAAAUUUUAGAUAUAUGAUUAUGUCGAAAUAAUCUAUAAUGCUGCACAACUCGAGCCAAAUACAUUCGAAGCGUAAUAUUAUGGUAUAAAAUGUACUGUAGUGAGUUUUUAAAAAUAUCUAUUGAUUCAGAUGGUGCGUAUUGAUUGAGGUGAUGAUGAUGUACUUGAUUAUUAGGAUUACCUGUUGCGUCGUUAUCUUUAAUAUUUGUUCUCAAGCACACGCAAUAGUUGAUAAAGCAUGUCCCCAUCAAUGCUAUCUUAAUUUGAUAUGUUUGUAUCCUAAUAAGUGGUAAAAUAUCGGGGUCCAAUAAGGAACCAUCAGUGCUAUCUUAAUUUGAUAUGUUUGUAUCCUAAGUGGUAAAAUAUCGGGGCCCAAUAAGGAAGAAUUGGUGUAGGAAUUACUCAUUGAGGAGACAUUCCUUUUUUUAUCUUAUGGUUUGAAGAUUCUUUUUUUCUUAAGAAAAAGAUAGCACGUUACCCGUUUCAUUCAUUACGAAGUUGAAUUAAGAUACAAGACUGAGGCAUCACUGGCCUCGAUAGUGGUGAAACAAAACAGAUUGCGAAAAAAGAAAAAAGAGGAGAAAAGAGUAAAUUAUUAGCGAUUACAUUGAUGUCUAUCCAUUGAGCUAAGGUGCUCCCACUGGUUCGCCAGCUGUUUAAUCUUGAAGGCUCUAGCACAUGGGUCUGUCCGGGUCAUCCAAAAAAUCGCACCAUUCAUGAUCUCCCAAAUAACUUACCAACAGGCUAUUACUCUAAUAAGCCCGUUGUUCAUCGAUUGCGCCCCCUUCCUUUCUUUCCAUCUAUCCCAGACCAAGUUCACGUCUUCACACACUUAUGGUCUAAAGUUUAUAUUCAUUUAUGUUGAGGAUAUCCUGAAGAUUAUGAUUUUAUAACUUAAUUUUGGUGUUCUUAAUUUGUGGUUAUUGGCUAUUUACAGGAAAAAAAUUAAUUAAAGAAAGCGAUUUGCAGCCGCCUUUUAUGACUAUUUAUUUGUUGCUUUUAUUAGUAGAUUAUGAGACUCCAAAUCCAAAUUUAGUAUGAGCAAUGUCUAUUUAUGGCAAAAUAAGUACAAUUAUUACAAAAACAUCCAUAAAUAAUGAGAUAUUAUAAGAUAUAUAUACCAACAUUUAUUUGCAGUUGGUGCCGUUCACUUCAUUUGAACACCUGGACUGCAAAAACCAAAAAGACAAAAAGAAGGAAAAUUUGAAUCAAGACAACAUGUAUUGACGUCAUUGCGAUGGUCCAUGAAAACUCAUCUUAAUAGACUAGGUUAGCUCAUGAGAUAUUUCCCUGGACUUAACACGGGUUUGUGUAGAUGUAGGUUGCUGUCCACUUCAUUUUGAAUGAACUCGAUCUAUUAGAAAUGUAAAAUAACUAAAUUUCGAAUACAGAAUUUUAGAUACCGGACCGUCCGUCCCUAGAGCAAGUGGUAAAGGGCUUGGUGGUUGGUACUUGAUACUCGAGACCCAAGUUCGAAUUCUAGUUGAUUCACAUUUUCAGCUAAGUUUAUUUCUAAAUGAAAUAAACGAAACAGGUAGCAUGCUACCUAUCUCUCAAAAAAAAAAGAAAAAAGAGGAUUUUAGAUACCAGCUGUUAAAUUUUUAAUCAAUUGUGCUAGAUAUAGCCGGUCGUCCUAUGUUUUGUAGUUAAAGAAAAAAUAAAUUAGUUCACAUAAAUAAUUGGGUUGUUUGCAAAAAAAACUACGGACCAUUCUCCUCCAAUGAGAAACAGUAUAAGGAAGUUGCCACUCUGACUAAAAAGAGAAUCACCAUGUCAAUCCUAAAUUUGUUUGGAGGGAACGCUUGCAAUAAUUACUUUUUUUACUUUUAAGUUUAGAAUGUGUUUGAUUUGAUGUGAAAGUGAAGUGAAAAAUUAUUUUCGGUCCGAAAAUGCUUUCCGGAUCAUUUGGUAUGUUGGUGUAAAAAUUUUUUCGGUGAAAAACACUUUUACAUAUUUUGAAGAGAAUUGCUCUAUUCAUUUUCCACGUGAGAUCAUCAGAAAACGAAAACCACAAAGCAAAAAAACAUGGCUAACACGGUAAUCUUCGUGAACCGCAUCAGAUGAAGGUCCACGAUAGACCUCUCUCUCUCUCAUUGUAUAUAGAGUAUAAGAAAUAUUGAUGUAGAAUUCAUAUGAUAUCUAGCUAAUGGAAAAAUUGGCAUUAAAAUAUAGAAUAGAGAAAAUUAUAUGGAUAGAACACUGAUGGGUAAUAAAGAGAAAAUAGAGACAUAGAUAUUGUAGCAAUUUUAAUAAAAACUGUUGAGUUAAUGGGAUGAUGUUGAUGAUGGUGCUAAUGAUGAAUUUGCUUAGUUUUCAUUAUCUUUGUUCUCGGGCACAAGCAAAAGUUGAUAAAACCAGUUGCAAUCAAUUUUAUUUUAUUUUAUUUUAUAUACCAACAAUGAUAUUUGUAUGCCUGCUUUUCAAAAAAAGUAAAACAAUAAAAGUUUUUAUAUACCAGCUGGUAAAUAUUGGGACCCAAUUAAAAUGCCACUGAGAAAGAGCUUUACAAUUAAUUAGCAUACACUAGAUAUUUGUAGCUAGGAACUCUCCAUCGGAGAGACAUUAAUUUUCUUUUAUAUUUUUUGUAGAAGUCUAUACGUUAACAGCCCAUCAUAUUGAAGUGUUGGCAAAGGAAUGUGCUGAGUUUUGUCGAAUUUAAUAGAUUUAAUGACAAAAAAUUUGAUAGCAUCAAGUGCUUGGUGCUAUCGAUAGCAUUAUAGUCGGACUCUCUCUCUCUCUCUCUCUCUCUCUCUCUCUCUCUCUCUCUCUCUCUCUCUCUCUCUCUCUNUAUAUAUAUGAAAUUUUUUAAGGCAAGCCCUUAAGAACUUGUAAUGUUUAUUGUACAAAAUUUUUUAAGGCAAGCCCUUAAGAACUUGUAAUGUGCAUGUAAAUAUUUGUUGUGUAUUUUCUCGCAAAAAGGGUAUCUCAUUUUUAUUUAUUAUUUAACUUAUGUUACGAAGAGAGUCAUAUGUAUGCUUGUUGAUUCUUUUCUCCAAAUUUUCACCCACUUUCAAAAAUCUUCUUCGAAAAAAAAAAACUCUGUAAUAUUAAUUAACCACCCAAGUGAUACAAGAUCGAGGUUAACACUUAAAACACGUACAUAUAUAAUAGAGUUUUAUAGAAGCACAGAAUAAAUACACACAAGCUACAGCCAUGUACGUACGUAAAUACACUUAUUCCCACCAUCCAGCUUAGUGAGAACUUCAUUUCAAUUAUCAUGCGCAUAAAUAACACCCUUAGGGUGCAUUAUUCAUAACUAGAUAUAUAUAUAUAUAUAGCUAGAUUACAUUUUGCAGUGAUGUCCUUGAGAAAGCGCAGAAAUAAUUGAUAGAGAGUUCAAUAUUAUCCGAGCAGCGGAAUGAAGGAGAAGCUCGAGGGGACGAGGUUGAGGAGUCCGCUGAGGAGUCCGCCGAUGAGGCCUCCUUGGAGCAGCUGCAGCGCCGACUGGAGGACUCCGGUCGCAGGGAGAGAGGCGUUGCAGGAUAUUAGAGGUGUUUCCACCACCAAGUUGCAGCUGUUCAUAAGCGCCGACAGGAGCGAGCUCACGAGGUCCAACGAUAUGCUGAACGCUCCGUUGCUGUCCGUCGUCGUGCUCGCGAGCACGUUGCUUCCGCAACGGACCUGCACCGUCGCAUCUGCAGUACCGGUAGUGAUCAUGCUGUUUAGUGUACGUAGUAGUAGUAGUAGUAGUAAUUACGUGGUUACGUAGAGUGUUAUUCUACUGUUUGCUAUUGUUUGUAUGUGAAUUUUAUCCGAAGCAAAUGAAUUUAUCUAUCGAUGGCAAUAUUGUUGAAAAGAUUAAUCCAAAAUGGUACGUAAAAGCACAAAUUCCACAAUAUUUAGGUAUAGCUAGCUAUUUUACUUGGAAACACAGGUGCAGUAGCUGCAUUGAUCAGAUUCCCAGUGCUACAAGGGACUAUGCCACUGAUGAGGGCUCUCCCCAGUUGAGCUUGAGCCCGAUGCGCACCCAAUCCGGCAAAAACCGCGAUCGCCAUUGCGAAGAGAAGGGUCCUCGAUAUCGCCAUGAUAUAACAAGAUUAGCGGGGGUUAAGAUGAGAGUUUGUUAUGUUAUGAUUUUUGUUGCUUGCUUAGUUUCUUCGCAUUGGAAUUGGUAUUUAUAGGCAAAAAAGUGAGCAAUUUGCAGCCGUUUUCUAUGACUCUUUCUUUCUUUCUUUCUUAUUAUUUGCAGUUCGUGUGGUUCACUUAACUUUGACACUUUGGAUCACAGAAACAGUUUGAAAUGAGACAAUAUUGGCCUUGCCGCGUGCUCAUUUUUUUAUAGGAUGGUCCACGAAGAACCUUCUCAUUAGAUUAGAUUAGAUUAGCUUUAGAUUGCAAAUGGGACUGUCCCCACCUCCUUUUUAGUUUCAUAGUGUCCUUGGAUUUGGGCAAUUAGUUAAUGGAUAUAUAUCUAUUGCGAAGAUACUAGCUAGCUAGGUAUGGUAUGGGAUAUUUUCCGAGACUUGUUAAUUGAGUCCUUCACUUAAAUAAAAGCACUCAUCAAGAAAAAAGCGUGGAACAGAAAAAUUUACAAGAAUUUUUUUUAUAUGUAGAAAACUUUUUCUUUUCUUUUUUUUUUUUAGUUUUUCGUUCUUUUGAAUCCAAAAAACACUAACUUUUUAAGACAGUCUUUUUUAAAAUUUUAUGAAAAAUUGGUAAUUUUGUUUUCCUAAAAAAAAUUGGAAAAUGAAAAUACUAUUUUUUUCAUAAAAUUUGGACAAAAUUUUUUCAAAGAAGCUAGUUGUUUUUUUAGCCAAACGGGCGAAAAUCUUUUUUAAAAAAAAUCUUGAUUUUUUUAAAAAAAUUGGAACGGUCGGGUUAACUGAUAAAACUAAAGAGAUAAAAGAAAAAUGGAUUGUACUUUUGGAAACCGAUAAAGUGGGCCCGUACUCUUCUCUAUUCUCGAUUUUUUUUUAUUAGAAAAAAAAAACUAUUCAAUGUAUUUCUAUCAAUGAGAAAAUUAGCAUAUGCUAGCGCUCCUUAAGAAAGAAUUACAAUGAAAAAUCCUAAAUUGGCGUGGAGCCAAUGGUUCCUCUCUUUCUUAAUUCUAUUAUAGGUCUCGAGCCCAUGCUUAAGGAAAAAUUGAAUAUAUGUAUAGUAAAAUAAUUUUUUUAUUUGAGAGAAAGGUAGCAUAUUACAUGUUUCGUUUAUUUUCUUUAGACAUAAACUUAGCUGAAAAUGUGAAUCAAUUAGGAUUCAAAUUCCAAAUUUCGGAUAUCAACCACCAAGUCUUUUACCACUUGCGCCAGAGACCGUCGGUGGUAUAAUUAAAUAUUAUUCUGUAAUAACUUCGGCUUUCAAAGAGUAUCAUCGUAUGUUUUACCAUGGCCUUGUUUUGAUUUGUCUCCUCUUUUUCAAAUAUGCAACCUCUCACAACUAGUAAUAUGUAGCCCCACAUUUGAAAAGUGCAUUUGCAUUGGCUCUGUUUUUUGCCUUUUUUUUAAAAAAAGCCAAGCAAGUAGGAGGUGCAAGUUGAGAAGCUAGUGGAUUAAGUGGGGAUUGAGUGCUAUAAUUUCCUAAUAAGGGGAUUGAUAAUUUUUUAUUUUGCUAGAGCAGAUAUAUUAUAUCUAGCCGUGAUUUGAUUCUCUCUCUUUGCUCAGGCAAUAGUAAAAUUUUGUUUUGAAUAUAUUAAUUUCCUUUCCUAAAUAGGAAUAGCAUUUAGGUUGAAGAUUGGUCCAAGUUUAAGUGCCUUUUCAUUGCUUCAUUGCGCAUGCUUGCAGUCCUUUUCCCAUGCCAAGUUUGUAGUGGAAUUUGACAAAGAAGCCAACUUUUAAUACAAAUAACUAAAAAAGUAUUUUUGAGAGAUAGAUAGCACGCUACCCGCUUCGCUUAUUUCAUUUAAAAAUAAACUUAGCUGUAAAUGUGAAUCAACUAGGAUUCGAAUUUGGGUCUCGGAUACCAACCACCAAGCCCCUUGAAGAUUGGUCCAAGUUUCAGUGCGAAAGACUGACCGUCCCAAGAGCAAGUGGUAAAGAGCUUGGUGAUUGGUAUCCGAGGUCCCAAGUUUAAAUCUUAGUUGAUUCACAUUUCCAGUUAAAUUUAUUCUAAAUAAAAUAAACGAAGCUGGUAGCGUGCUAUCUAUCUCUCACAAAAAAAAAGAAAAAAAAAAAAACUAAAAUAGAAAACGAAGGAAAAUAAAGCGAACCAAGUAUUCAUUUUGUCCAUGUUCAAGCCAAUCGGGCUAUUUUGCGAGGAAAAANAUAGAAAAAAAAAAAAAAAAAAAAAAAAAAAAAAAAAAAAAAAAAAAAAACUUUUCAAUGUUUUUCUAUCAAUGAGAAAAUUAGUAUAAGCUAGCGCUCCUUAAGAAAGAAUUACAAUGAAAAAUUCUAAAUUGGCGUGGAGCCAAUGGUUCCUCUCAUUCUUAAAUCUAUUGUAGGUCUCGAGCCCAAGCUUAAGGAAAAAUUGAAUAUAUGUAUAGUAAAAUAUUUUUUUUAUAUGAGAGAAAGAUAGCAUAUUACAUGUUUCGUUUAUUUUUUUUAGACAUAAACUUAGCUAGAAAUGUGAAUCAAUUAGGAUUCGAAAUUCAAAUUUCGGAUAUCAACCACCAAGCCUUUUGCCACUUGCGCCAGGGACCGUCGGUGGUAUAAUUAAAUAUUAUUCUGUAAUAACUUCGGCUUUCAAAGAGUAUCAUCGUAUGUUUCACCAUGGCCUUGUUUUGAUUUGUCUCCUCUUUUUCAAAUAUGCAACCUCUCACAACUAGUAAUAUGUAGCCCCACAUUUGAAAAGUGCAUUUGCAUUGGCUCUGUUUUUUGCCUUUUUUUAAAAGAAGCCAAGCAAGUAGGAGGUGCAAGUUGAGAAGCUAGUGGAUUAAGUGGGGAUUGAGUGCUAUAAUUUCUUUAUAAGGGGAUUGAUAAUUUUUUAUUUUGCUAGAGCAGAUAUAUUAUAUCUAGCCGUGAUUUGAUCCUCUCUCUUUGCUCAGGCAAUAGUAAAAUUUUGUUUUGAAUAUAUUAAUUUCCUUUCCUAAAUAGGAAUAGCAUUUAGGUUGAAGCUUGGUCCAAGUUUAAGUGCCUUUUCAUUGCUUCAUUGCGCAUGCUUGCAGUCCUUUUCCCAUGCCAAGUUUGUAGUGGAAUUUGACAAAGAAGCCAACUUUUAAUACAAAUAACUAAAAAAGUAUUUUUGAGAGAUAGGUAGCACGCUAUCCGCUUCGCUUAUUUCAUUUAAAAAUAAACUUAGCUGUAAAUGUGAAUCAACUAGAAUUCAAAUUUGGGUCUCGGGUAUCAACCACCAAGUCCUUUGAAGAUUGGUCCAAGUUUAAGUGCCUUAAAAAAGACCGACCGUUUCUAGAGCAAGUGGCAAAGGGCUUAGCGGUUGAUACCCGAGGUCCCAAGUUCGAAUCCUAGUUGAUUCACAUUUCCAGCUAAGUUUAUUUCUAAAUGAAAUAAACGAAACGGAUAGUGUGCUAUCUAUCACUCUCANAAGCGAACCAAGUAUUCAUUUUGUCCAUGUUCAAGCCAAUCGGGCUAUUUUGCGAGGAAAAAAGCAAAAAAAAAAAAAGGAUUAUUAGGACACUAGUUUACUUACACUUGGUUCAGAUCCAUAAAGUCAGUGAAGAUUCUAUAUCUACUAUUAGACUUGCUACAUAUGAUACCACUAGAUUGAUUGCAACAAAAUCUCCCACAUUUAUAAUUUUUGGUGCUUAUUAUCAGUUUAAGGUAGGAACGAUGUCUUUUUUUUUUCUUUUUUUUUUUGAAAAAGAAAGAUAGUAUGUUACCCGCUUUGUUUAUUUCAUUUAGAAAUAAACAUGGCUAGAAAAUGUGAAUCCACAAAGAUUCGAACUUGAGUCUCGGGUAUCAACCACCAAGUCAUUUUGCCACUUGCUCUAAGAAUGGUCGGUGGCAGGAACAAUGUCAACAUUGAUUAAGGAUCUACUGCGAGAGAACGCACAGCACCUAUGCCUUUAUUUGGCAUUCCACAAAGUAUACCUCUUUUAUUCUCAUAGUUAAAUGAGCUAAAGAAGACCUAGAAAUCACCAAGACGAGAUUAGCAUGAGAAAUUAGAGAAGCUCCUUCAGAUUACUGUAAACAUAACACUUCGACGAGAGAUGCAGCUAGCGAACUCUUAAAAGAGAGAAGCAAGCAGCGGAAAUAAAAAUGGGGAAGAAAAAGACGAAGAAUUGUAGCAGAGAAAGCUCAAUAAUGAAGGACAAUUCAUUUACAGAGUAAGAGUAUUUGUAGUUGAGAAAGCGAAGUCUUACUAUUUACAGAGGAACAACCACAAAGAAAUCCUGCUCUUUCAUGAGCCUAUAUAAACCAGAAUCACAUCUAUAAUCUAUAUUCGAAUCUCAAUGAGCUACGAAGCAAUCUUCUUCGAAACUUCAAACAGUUCACUGGCACACCAAAAAAGCCUAAUAACAUCACACACAAUUUUCUAAAGAUGACAAACUUUGAAAUGCAAACAAAGCACACAGCUAAUUAGCAUCAUGGAAGACACAACGAAAACCAGCCAACUCUAUCUACUUGAGAAUAUAAACAAGGCAACAGUACACAUACUCGAGCAGGAGACAUACAACAUAGACAGCUUUGAUACACCACUCACGCACUCUCUUGGGUCUCAAACAACCCACAACAACACGCACUAAAUUGACCCACAUUCAAACUUCAUAGGUAAAAAUGUGGAGACCCCCUCGACUACAGGCCAUUUAGAAACAGAUCCCUAAACUUUUCUUUGUUUUUUCAUUUGAGCCAUUGCCCUAAGAUAAAUUGGAGAUUCCUUAAAAUGUGAAGAUGAUUUCCUGUUAAAUUUAACGGCAUUAUCUGCUUUUUAGCUGACAAAAACUGCAGGUUUCCUGAUUUAGUGACACGUAGUAAACAGAGCUGCUAAAGAACUCUCCAACUACUCUUAGGGAAAUGACUCAAAUUAAAACGAACAAGAGUUCAAGCGGUGUCGACAGUAAGAUACAAAGUUUAGAAAUCUACAUUGAAAUGAAACACUACAGUAAAGGGGGGUUCCAUACACUUUUAGCAACACCACACAAACCCCAACCCUGCUUAUCUACAGAAAGAAGCUACUUUAACACACAAACACGCAAACACGAACACAACUUCAUCUACAUAUAAACAUAUAAACAUAGGCAACUAGAGUACAACUAAAACCCCCACGCUCUCACUCACGUCAUAUCAUUCUUCCCAUCUCUCAUGAUGUUAAUGUUCCUACCGCAGCGGAACGGACUUAUGUGAGGAGCAAAUUAGAGAGCUCACGCCUCGAAAGGAGGAGCGGGGCUCUUCGGUCCGUUUCGUCCUCUCUCGUAUGCAUCUGAUAAUGAUUUUCUUCUGAACCGGCCUCCUGUUCGUCACAAGCCGCAAAGAUCUUCACUUAGACAAAAUAUAGCAAGAUGUAGGAGCGAGGAAGCUCAAAUGACAAAUAUACGAACAAGAGAACAAAUUUGAUCAGUAAUGAGUAUCACAAAAAUGAACUAUUAAAUCUGCAACCAGACUAAGAGACCUGCUCUGAUAUCAAGUUCCAAAUCAAAUCUAUGAAAUGAAGAACUGUUCAAAGAUAGUUCUAACACAACCGCCAAUUCGUGUGCAGCUUUCUAGGUGGCAACAGAAAGGAAUCAUAUAAUAAUAUAAGUAAAUUAUAUCUAAUAAAAUACUGUAAUUCUAGUUUUGGUAAAGGAAAAAGCAUCUUCUUCUUUUUUUUUGUGCAUAACUUAUUAGAUGUUCAUAUACAGCUUAAGAUAUUUUGAUGCAAAUCUUAAUUGCGAGAAUGAGAUUUGGAUCAUACGUAUUAAGUGGGUGUCUCCCCUCACACAACUUUGCAUACAAAGCGAAGUAUACUGUAGACCGCCUCAGCAAUGGCAUACGUACAUAACUCGUCCGUAUUGUAUAAGUAUAGGAUUACACCAGCCAAAUCGAUGUCAUCUCAUUUGCUGGUACUACGCUACACUGCUACAGAGUAACAAAUCGAUGUGAUCUAUGUUGGCAUGAAAAGGGUAAAAAUGUCCUUUCAAACUCUAUCCAGAAGUUUCGGUAACAGAGACAUUAUUUGCCAUACCGAAAUUAACCUGUACACUUGAUAGCGAUCGCCACGGUAAGCGGGGGCAAUUUCGUCCACAUAAAUGACGAGGGCGAGUUAAAUUACCAAAUUAGCCCUAUAAUUGGGAAUAAUUACAUGAAACGCACUGAAGAGCGAGGAGGCCUCACCGGAGAAGGGCGAUAGCGGCGGCGGCGUCCCCGCCGGCGACGGGCAUCCCGAGGGCCGCUUGAUCAUGAUGCUCCGCGUCACUUUCGGAGCCUCGUCGAGGCGCAAUCUCCCCAUCGCCCCCUCCGCCGCUGCUGCCGCCUCAUCUGCCACCACCAACACCAUUCAGAUGAUCGGCAAAUCCUACCAAACCCUAGCUAGAGGUGGAAGGAGAUUAGGGUUAAGGGAUAUAACGGACCUUUAACGGCGUCAGGCCGGACUCCGAAGGAGUUAUGCUUCCGGAGGCGUCCGAGCCCCGUCUCCGGGCGCGGCCCCGCGACGGUGUCGUCCCAGAGCUUGUCGAGAAGCCCCAUGGGAUUCGAUCCACUCACAAAAAAAGGUCCCUAAUAAACCCUAGACGAUGAUUAAUGGAUUGGGUAGUGGGAGUAGAAAGAAGAAGAGGACGAGAGAAUGGGAGUGGGGUGAUAUUUAUAGAGGGAGAAUUGGUCCUAACAAGGAGAGUGAUCAGGGCGCUGAUGGAGAGAUCUGAGCCGCCGAUGAGGAUCUGGAUGGUGACGUGGCAGUGGGAUCCACGUGUACUGGAUAAGAUUGGCAUGAUAAGGAGUUAUGGGGAAUUGAGCCGUGCCUUACAGAAGGUGCCGCGUGGCCCUCCUCUGUUCGGUAAUCACGUGAUCCGCGGUUGCGGGAGAACCUGGAUGGACGAUAUUAUCCAGGGUAAGGUUCGAUAAUAACGAGAUUGCCCUUGAUUUUAUUCUUUCACUUAUAAAUAGUCUUAAAAAAUAAUAAUAAUAACGCGCUUUUGCAUAACAUGAGAAGGUUCAAACAAAACUACAGAGAGAAAGGAAGCCCAAACAGGAAUAAUAGAUCCACGCAGUAAUUCAAAUAUACAAAUUAAACCCCGAAUAAGUUUUAACGAACAAGAUCCACAAAAAUAGAAGACACUCAAUUCAAAUCACAUUCGAUACUACAGGGUAAAUGUGGUUGAACUUACACUAUCUCUCAAUCCGAACAUUGUGCGAGUUCUCGAAGAUUUGACGAAAAUCAUAAAAUUCAAAAACAAUACAUAGCACAUCAAAGUAGUUUCACCCCAGCAUCUCUCAAAGAAUCAAUAACAGCCUUGACCUUUCCGUGGUACUUCUGCUCCCUCUUGAGGAAGACGGAGACCGCGGGGAUGCCAUUGAGCAGCAACCGCUCCCCCAAUAGCUUCCCGAUCUUGGCGGCCGCAGCGACGUCCCGCGUGGACUCCAUGCUCGGCCUUAGAAUUUUCUCCUGCGAGCUGGCAGAGCAGGCGACCGUGGCUGUCGGGGUGUGGACGACCUGGGCGCUCACAAACUUGUUCGAGAAGUGCAUCCUGAGAAGGUAGGGCUUGAGGUACUUGGUGAUUCUGGCCGGUCGUACUGGGGGAGGGAUCACCAUUGCAGGUGAAGUUUCCUGUAAGCUCUGCAAAGUCGCGGUCGGAGAAGCAGUGUCAAACAAAGAAGAACCUACCGAAAAUUAGACAUUUAGCUCAAGAAAAAAAAAACAACAAAUCUCUUGUUCUCGCCAAGAAAGAGCUUUUAGAUUCUUAAAGUAGAAACUUCAAUAUGAAGCUUCAGCUUCUACUCGUGAGAUGCUAUUGCUGAGAUCUUAAUGAAAAUGUAAUGCAUGCUUUCUCAAACAGCUUUAUUCAAACAACACUACUGCAUAAGCUCUACCUAGCCCGACAGGGCCUUUAUGACAUGCAACAAGAGUAGAAAAGGCUUAUAAACGACAAGGAUGUAGGCUAUUACAAUCUCGAUUCUUCAGAGAAGUUCUGAAGUUGACUAUAAAAGAAUGCUCUAUCGAUGGUGAAAAAGGUUUUGUUACUAGCUGCAGACUCUAGACCUUUGUUAAACAAAAUUAUGGAUUAGAACAGAUACCACAAAUGGAUCAACAUAAUUUUACAACAUACUAACGUAUCCAAUUUUGAUGUGUAGUAAGCCCUGUACUAUAGGAGUGAGUGACUUGUUUCUCCUCGAUUCAUAUAAUAUGAAUGUCUAUGAGUUAUAGAAGAAAUAUAAGGUACAAUAUACAUUUAUGCAACAUAAAUUGUUUAUAUAUACUUCGAUUCUGGAAAGUGAAAGGUUGAUUUUGUUAACCAAAUAUUUACAAAAGUUGCCUGAUUUUACACUUUUGCAUGGUUUUAUUUAUUCGUGUAACAGCUAUCAUUUUGUAUACACCUACAUAAUACAUUAAUAUGAAGGGGGAAAAAAAUGCGAGAAGUGUACAAUGAGAGAGGGUAAUCUGGAAAAGAAUUAUUUCUUUUUCCUCUUUUCUUUUUGUCAAUUAACUUCCGAAGAUUGAACCAGAAAAAGCCAUAAGGCUAAUUUAUACAAUUCCAAAUCCCAGAUCUUACUUGUAGUGUCAAUACGCAACAAAUGACAUGAAUAAGUAAUCGAUCACAUGAAAAUUUAAUCAAGCACUCUUCUCAUCUCUAAUCCUUACUUCUCUCACUUAACUUUAUACAUGUCUCAUCAAAUUUAAUAAUUUUAAUCACUUUUCCGCAAAUUAAACUGGAAUGUUUCACGGUUUAUAGCUAACGGAGCCAUUAAAUUCAACAAAAAUCCACUUGAAUAACUACAACAACUCAAAAUUUUUAAAAAGAAAAAAAAGCUAAAGCUAGUGUCAACCAAAAAAAAAAAAGGGGGGGGGGGGGAAAGGGGCUUCAAACCCAAACACGCCAGAUUCAAACAAAGAAACCUACUCCAUUGCAAUCACAUAAAGAUCUAAAGAUGCAUUUGAGAGGAGAAAAGGCUCACCUUGUUACCAAAUGGAUUGGGAUCCGCCACGAGGAUUGGUGAGAGAGAGACAGUGAGAGAGAGGAUUAGGGUUUUGCGAGAGAUCGCCUAGUCUAGGGAGUCGGGAUAUGGGGGACGAAGAACCCUAGCGAGGUAAUAAAUCGGAUUCGGAUCCGAGAUUUAAAGGAUCCGAUAUUCCCUCAUCAUAUCCGCAUGGCGAACGAGCGGCUACAUAAAACUAUAAAUGGGCGAGGCCCAAAAAGGUCACAUGUAUGAUGAUUCCCUCAACUAUACACCAUUUAGAAAUAGAGGACCCUAAAAAGGGGGUGGGGAAAGGGAAAAAAAUUAAGAAACUUAAAUUUAUUUUUCACAAAAAAAAAUCGAAUUUUACUGACUCAAUUGGGGGGUAUAUUUUAAUUUUUCAAGUAAACUAUGACAUUUUAGAAUUAAUGAUAGUUUUAACUCUAAUAAAACUGCAAAUUUCAUCAACUAAAAGAGUUGUUAAAUUUAGUAAAACUUUCAAUUUGUUGAUUUAAAUAAUUUACUAGUAAACAAACCCAUUAUUUGGGCCUCUUCUAUGGGCCGGACUAUGGGUUCAACUAAAGGGUCUUUGGGUUUUACACUGGCCCCAACUCAAAUAAACCAAUUGGAAUUUCUAGUUGCCAGUAAUUAGAGUUAUGAGAUUUGGAGAAGAUACAGUUAGGCCCGACACCUGAACGCAACUGUUUUGAUACUAUAAAGCACGAAAAUGCUAUAGUGCUCUGCCUUUUCUGAUACUACAAAAUAGUUGCAGAAGCUUCUACUGAAGAUGUGUGGAGUUAAAACACUUUUAAAAUUUGGAACAUUUCAAAAACGUCAAAUUAAGUAGUCGGUUCAUCCUGUUUUAAGAAGGUUAUCAGAUGUAACAAAUGAUCAACAUUCUGCGCCCUGAUAGGAUCCUUUGGCGGUGGGACCCUGGGGGGCGCUUCUAUGUCAAGUCGACUUAUUCUGCACUGAAUGAAGGAGGCACGAGGGAUGCCCGCGCAAGCAAACUCUAGAGACUCCGUGUCCCGCUUAAAGUUAAAGUGUUCUGUUGGUUUGUCCUUAAGAAGAGGCUACUUACAUCCGAUAAGCUUUUUAAAACAUGAUGAAGUGGUGACCCAGGUUGCGUAAUGUGCGGGUCCGAUGAAGAGACGGUUGAUCAUUUGUUCACAGCUUGUGUUUUUGCUAAAUUCAUCACUGUCAUGACAAAUGGAGGGUGUGUAGCCUGGUGACUUGGGAGCUGAUGUUCAAGGGGUAUGGGACAGGUGGGCGGCUAGAAUGGGUCCACACUCUUCGACGUUUAGGAUUCCGAAACUAGCGGCCUGUUGGUGGACCAUUUGGGAGAGCCGAAACAACUUAAUUUUCAGAUCGAUCCGGCUUGACCCUCUCAAAGUUGUUUGCAAGGUUAAUCAGUUGCUUUCCUCUUGGAAUAAACUCUUAUCGACUUAUCGGUAGUUUUUUUUUUUUUUUUUCCUUCGAGGCCCCGCUGCCUCACUUCUGUAGCAUAAUUUAUUUUUUCAAUGAAUGAAGCGGAUAGCAUGCUACCUUAUUCUCCAAANGUCAUGGUGAGCGCAUGUAUUCCGAAAUUAGGACUCAAUAAGUUAUUGAUGUUGGUCACAUUUGAACUGGUUCGGUUUUCUGAUAGAAAUCUUAUCUAAAAGAACUAUCAAAGAAGCCCGAUUCUUUGAAAUGUAUUUGUGUAGCACAAUAGCUUAUUUUAGCUUUUCAUAAUAAGCUUCAACAUUUUUAUUUGUUAAACAUUGUACUUUAUUUCUCAAAUAGAAAAAGAAACAAAUUUAGUUCUCUCACUCACUAACACCAUUAUAAAUUACCUAAAUUAGCAAUAACAUGGGGAAAUAAAGGUACAAACCAAACUAUUUUAAGAAUCCCAAAUAUCCUCUCUCGCCCAUCUUGCAUCAUGCUCCAGAAAAGUUUCCUUUAAUUAGAUGGUGAGAAUUCAAAGGAUCCAAAAGCCACUACCCAAUCCUCCUCUCUAUAUCAUCUCACUAUCAUCAUAUGAAUCUAUUGAGUGUCCUUUCUCAUAAUCUUUACAGGGGAAUAAAAAGUAUCCAAUUAAAAGGGAUUGAGUGUUUUCCCAGAAGAAGUAUCAAGUGUAAUAUCCAUACACAAUCCAAAGAGUAGCAGAAGCAUCAAUUGCUCUUGGUGUAUAAAAUGCCCUAAUAAUGAUUUACUUUGAGCUUUUCCAGUGAUUCUAUUACUAGAUGAGGUAUUUCGAAUCUAGUGUGUUGAAAACAUUAUAUCGAAUUUUUUAGCACAUUUUUCUGAUGGUGGCAAUGAAUGCAGGCCACCAAACCUCAAAUAAAACUUACAAAAAAAAAUUCAGAAUAAUUUAUAAAUUAUGCAGCUUAAUAGUUAAAUUACUUCCUUAGUCCACUGUAUCAUGUUUAUUUUUUCGUGGCUCACACUUAUCUAUUAAUUAUUUUAGUCGAAUUUACAAAAGAAACUUCAGAAUAGUUUAUAAAUUAUGCAGUCUCAUAGUUUAGUUUCUUCUUUAGUCUACUGUAUCAUGUUUAUUUUUUCAUGGCUCACGUGUACUUAUUUAAUAAUCGAAUUGUUUUCAUCAAGCAUGCUAUUGAUAUAGUUUAUGACCAGUACAAAAUACACACUAAAGAGUUCGAUAUGCGUGAAGAGAAUUCGCUAGCAAAUUACUCUAUUUAGGUUUCACCGUAACCGUGCAUUUUAUUUCCUUUAUUUCAUUACGUUUUUUUAAUUAACCUAACAUUAAUUACAACUCAGUUUUUAAAAAAAUUAAAAAUAAAAUUGUAUGUUAUGACAAAACCUUUAUGGCAUAAUUCAUAAUUAAUGCACCACAAUUAAGUGUGGUUAGUUUGUUUUUCUUUACGAAGAACAUAUACACUUAUUGCUCGAUCACAACCUAGCUAAAUAUAUUAAUAAGAUAAAAAGUAAAUCAUGCAUGCAAUUAAGUACAUACUACAUACUACAUACUACAUGCACCAUAUACAUACGACGUGACAUAUGGUCGUUGCAAUGUAGAGGGCCAUAAAUUAAGGGCGAUCAAAUCAACAUGGGGACCCUCUCAUUUCAUUUCCCCAGCUACAUUAAAAACAACUAUACACAUGUUACAUAUAAAUUCAUGCAUUUCAAACAUAUACGUCUAUUUCUCUCUCUCCCUCUCUCUCUCUCCCCCUCUCCUAUUAUCUUUCUCCAUCUAGCUAUUCCAUCUAUCAUUCUAUGUGUCCAUCCAUCAUGUAUCCCUUCUCCCUACACUGCUUGUGGUUCACGCAACCCACCGUGGGUGUAUCUCUUGCUAAAUUCUCCACAAUCCAAUCCCACACCCCCCCAUUAUUAAUUUGAGAGAGAGAGAGAGAGAGAGAGAGAGAGAGAGUGCCCCACCUACAUUCAUUUUCUUUGGUUUCCUCUUGUCCUCACCCUUUUGUUGCCAUGAUUCGUGCAAGUCUCGCAAAUGCAACCACCUCUUACUGCACAACAUAUUUAAUUCCCUGAUCCCCAAUAUCAUCAUCACUUGGAGCUUUUCCAACAACACAAAUGAAAGGAAAUUAAAUAUAACAAGAGUGUUGUCACUAAUAACAUAAAACAUGCAUGUACGUAGUUAGAAGUACAAACUGAGAGCUUAAUUAAUCCUAUGUUUACAUACAAAUUCAACAUUAACUUACAAACUAUAAAAUAUAAUGGUUGAACUUAAUGUAAAAAUCAUGUCUAUACAUCCGCAAUUCACCCCUAUUGAUAAUUAAUACACGUUAAUAUUGUAACAAUUAAAACUUAAUGAUAUUGUUGAUUAAAACGUUGAUGUUGGGAAAGCUACCAACAUUGUUGCUUAGCUGCCUAAGAAUUGCUUUUGCUUCAUAUUUUUCCUACUAAAUUACGUGACAUGUCUUGUGUAACAUUUGUUUCAAAGGCUAUAUAUAUAUAUAUAGAGAGAGAGAGAGAGAGAGAGUAGGGCUACUACACUCUUAUGAGUAUUGGAGCCUUCGUACUCAUAAAUUGUUUUCGAUAAUGGAGCUUCCGCAUCGACGAUCCACUCCGUUAAAUAUGAUUUAGAGUAUUUGAAACUUCUAGAAAAUAAAUUUCGUAAAUUUUCGUAAUCAUAAUAAAGUCCAUCAAGCGAGAAUAAAAUGUACGGUUAAAAUCGAACAACGUCCUAAAAAUGGAUGAUCAGAUCCUUCAAUUUAAGAUCGAAGUUAUUGAUCUUUAUCUAAAUAGUGAAUAGAAUUUUCUAUCAAAAAUUCAACAAAUUCCGAUUCUUUUACACCGUUAAAUUAGCAAGUAUUCCAUACCGGCAGUUAAAAAUUGUUAAUUUUGUGACCUUUUGAUCGUAAGGUAAAUAAUGUCGAAAAAUUAUAAAGUUUGAUUUUUAGAAAAUUUAAAUGCUGUAAAUAACGUUUAACGGUAUGGAUCGUCGAUUCGGAAGCUCUAUUAUCGAAAUCGACUUANUUGCAUUAUAUAUAUAUAUAUAUAUAUAUAUAUAUAUAUAUAUAUAUAUAUAUAUAUAUAUAUAUAUAUAUAUAUAUAUAUAUAUAUAUAGCGCUAAUCUCCUAUACUGUCAUAGUACCGGGACUCCGGUACCAUAGUCUCGUUUUUGAUCUUAGGGUGUUCAAAUCAACGAUGCACACCGUUAAAACUGAUCUAGGGUAUUUAAAGUUUUUAGAAAUAAAAUUGUAUAUUUUUUCAACAUAAUUUACUUUAUGAUCAAAUCAUUUCAAAAUUGUUAAUUUUCAAUGGCUACUAUGACGAGUUUGGAGUUUAAUGGUGUAGAAGAAUCUAAAUUUCUUCAAAUUUUGAUAGAAAAUACUUUAAAUUAUCUAGAUUGAGGUUAACAUUCUUGAUCUUGAAUUUAAAAGUCUUAUGCUUAAAUUUUAAAGAUUAUUUAAUUUUCACCAACCGUUUUGACAUAAUUUAUUUACUAAGUAAACGAUAUCGAAAAAAACUAAAAUUUUAUUCCUAAAAACUUUAUAUACCUAAAUCAUAUUUAACGGUGUAGAUCGUUAAUUUGAAUAUUUUAAGAUAAAAAAUAAGACUAUAGCACCGAAGCUCCGAUAAUAUAGGUAGUAUAGUAGCCUAAUUAUAUAUAUAUAUAUAUAUAUAUAUAUAUAUAUAUAUAUGGUGACAGUGACCAUCUCACAGAAGAGCCAUGUGGAUCAUGACCGUAGGAUGUUAUCCAUUUUGAGAAGCCUCAUUAGUUUCCUAUAGCUUUAGAUCUCAACAACUGCUCCACAACGUACCCAAACUACAUAUAUUAAAACGUAUCCACUGUUAAACUUAUCUAGACAUACGUCAUAAAUUAGUUAAUUAAUUAAUAUUUGGUCGGAGAGAUAUUUAUGUACGACCAUGUAGAUGACGUAGAAGUCAUGGUGACCAGUGGACCUAUUCUCUUCUGGAUCCCUCUGUUUCUUUUAAUCCUAUGUUAAUUAAUCUCUUCCAUACAGGUAACAAGUACACUUUAACAUUUGUCACGAUCCCACUGUUUAGUGCUUGCACAUCUUUACUACCGUCAAAAAAAUUGAACAAUUGUGUACGUCAAAACUAGAUGCAUGCAUAGAUUAACUAGUUAGUGUCAUAAUUUUUUUUUGAAAUAAUUAUGAUAUAUGGUUUGAUGAAAAUAUUAUAGUCAUAUUUCUCUGUAUUUGAAAUAUUAUUAAAUAUUAUUUUUAUAGUCAUUUAUUAUUUUAGGUGGAACACAGGUUUUUAUGGGGCCCGACAAAGUCGGGGUCUUCUACAGGAUCGAAUUGCAUUAAAAUAAGGAGGCAUAUAUACAUAUUUAUUGAGUUAUUAUGACCCCUUCAAACUUAAAAAGUUGAAACUUAAACCCCACCCCCCCUUUCCUCUCCCCUCUCAAUAGCACUCGAUUGCUCCACGCCUCUAUCUCCUUUAGAAGCAAACCCACUCCAAGACUCCACCUCUCUCUCUCUCUCUCUCUCUCUCUCUCUCUCUCUCUCUCUCUCUGUCCUUUUCUCUUGUUAUAUAAAGGAGUUGCCUCUUCUCAUCUCCACACCACUUCUCCCACAAACUAUAGACUCGAAAGCUCAGCCAACUAUAUAUAUAUAUAUGUAGCUGCAUAUGCUGCUUCUUCAAGAGCUUCUUCAUUUGUACACAUGGUGAGGAGGUCCUUGUUGGAGAAGCAGGGCACGUGCAAAGGAACCCACCGUGGUUACUCUCUCUCUCUCUCUCUCUCUCUCUCUCUCUCUCUCUAACUUUGCACGUGCUCCCCUUCUCCACCAUGGCCUUCUCACCUUCUUCUUCGCCAGUACCUCUUAUUUCGCUCACCCAAGAUUAGCACAAGGUAUCAAUAUUCCAGGUACAUUUAAACAAUACCCACCUCCUAUUUAUAUAUACAUACAUAUAUAUAUAUGUCCUGCAUAUAAACCAAUGUGGUAUUUCUUGUGAAUUAUGGGUUAUAUAUAUUAUGACCUCGUUGUGUAUAUAUAUUUCUAUAUUUCUUUGUUUAAGCUUACAUCUAUUCUCUGAGUUAAUUGGUCUACUAAUGUUACUGUUGCAUUAAUAUCACAUAUUCACAUCCUAAUUAAGCAUUGUUUUCUAUUAAAAUGAAGGAAUUUGUUAAAUGUGCAUGGCUUUUCUAUAUAUCAUCUGUUUUUUUUUUUUUUUUUUCCUCUUUUUCUCCAAUAACCAUCAAUUAUGCAUGCACUUGUGGCAUGACAAUAUAAAAGCCUUAAAUUGUUCUUUAACUUUGCAUAAACUAAUUAAAGUGGUGUCUUUAUUUGUAAUGUUAGUGUACACCGUGAUUAAUUUACUGUGUAAUUACUUGCAGGAAGGAGCACCUUAUGUUCCACUACUACACCUUUCUCUUUUCAUAUUUCAUAUAUUAAACCUACAAUUCACGAGCCCGAGUUACGUUAGUUUUCUUAUACGUUGACACGCAACUAUAUAGGUCCGUACGUUCAAGGCUCGUCCUAUACGUACCCCAAAUGUACCUUGAACGUAAUUUGCACGUACACUCCAUUCUACACUAUCCUAUCCCCACUACAAUUUACUGUUCUCUUAUAUAGCGUUUAUUAUUCAGAUUAAUUAUACUUUUACUUGUUCUACAGGAGUUGGCCUAAUUUAGAUGACUUAUGUUUAAAUUUAAAACUCUAGUCCAUUAAUAAAUGUUUAAGUACUGUCACACAUAUAUAUAUAUAAUGCUAGUUAUAAAUUAACUAAUAAUUGUUGUAUAUAACUCUGAUUUUAUCAACAAUAAAAUAUGACCGACCAUCCCUAGAAUAAGUGGCAAAGGGUUUGGUGGUUGGUAUCCGAAAUUCAAGUUCGAAUCCUAGUUGAUUCACAUUUCUAGCUAAAUUUAUUUCUAAAUGAAAUAAAUGAAACGGGUAGCGUAUUAUCUAUCACGUAAAAAAAAAUUAAUAAUAUGUUAUUAUGGUAGUAUUAUUAUUAUUAUUAGUUAAAAGUAUAUUUUCCUUUUGGAACACAAGUGUACGGAUGGUCGUGGCCUACACGUGCAGUAGUAUCCCUGUUUGCCUAGGUUGGUCAUGGUUCCAAGACCAAGUUAUAAACAGGGGAUCACCAAAAUUCGGGAGUUUAUUACGUGGGCCUGGUUUAUGGACCUGACCAGUACAAGCGCACAGCUUUGAGCAUCCCUCGUGCAAAACAAUAAACACCCGCAGAUGACAUGGUAGGCUCGGUCUAGGAAGAGGAUCGAGAUGGUGCGUAUGUGUUCGGGAAGGGGAUGUGAGAGUAUGAGAUCACACGCAACGCACGCAUCUCAAAGCGAUCAGAGAGAGUGUCUCACGGGGGUGUUAAUGCGCUUUUCCCAACGGAGGGGAGGGGAAGGGAAAAAGAGCGCGAGAAAUUCACGGGGGAUCUGACGGUGUGAUGGGACUCCCACUCCCACCCGCAUCAUCCCCCUACAACCCCGGUUGUAGCUUUCAUUGUACAUCCACCCCCACGUGGCAGCUUCUCAUUGGAUUUUACUGCACCAAAUUGCAUAGACCAUUCUUAAAUGGGCCCUCUCAAGUUUUUUUUUUUUUUUUUUUUUUUUUUGUUUGUAGAUAUUUUCGUUUGCUACCAAUUUUUUUAGUUUAAGUUAUUUACUCACUAAGUUAGUAAUUUUAUUUGACUUGUAUUUACAAAAUAAUUUUGUUAUUUAUUAGAAAAUCUGCCUCAACAAUAAUACCUCUGUUUAUGUGGUUCACGAAUACACGGUGAAAAGUAAAAGGGGGGAGCAACAUGUGGAACCCAUCAAAUCAAAAAAAAAAAAAAAAAAAAAAAAAAAAAAAAAAGAGAAAAAAAAAAGAAAAAGAAAAAGUUGGAAGAGUUGACCUGCUGUUGUAUGAAUCUGACCCUCCAACCUAAAAGGCGAAGGUGAUGGGAUUCGCAUGGAGACACAUGUCACAAUUUUUUGAAUCUAAUUCACGGUGAGGUUUUGAGUGUUCUCCUCAGCAUAAGAUAAGAUUUGACCCGCAAUCUGAGCUCCUGUCCCCAAAAUGAGCUGAGAUGUAGCAAAAUGGAAGUGUUAUAUUCAACACCACAAUUAAUUACAAAAAUCCAUACAUUUCUUUGUUACAAUAUAAAAAGUAAAUUUACUAAAUUUGAUUAAAUUUAGUGAGUUAAUAAUUAUCAGGUUUGAUAAUUUUUUAUCUGUUGCAGUAAUUAAGAUCUCUCGCAUUGUUGUUUAUUGUAAAAGAGAAUAUUUUGUUAUUUCAUUUGUCACACCUGAAAGGUUCCGAGCUUAUUUUUGUUUUAGUUUUUUGUAGGAAUCUGUCUGCUUGUUGGCUUUAUUAAAAUUUUGGUUAAUUGAAUUGGGUUUCAUUUAAUUUAGAUCAAAAUUUUGAUCUAAACUUGGUAAAAGGUUUGAAUUCAUAUGCGAUUUCAAACGGGCUGGUUUUGGCGCAUCUAGAUGAAACCCUAAAACGUGGAACAGGCUCAUCUCCUAGGAUAUUUAGAUGUGAAAUAAUGUGCCCAAAUUGUUUACACACUUUUUUUUCCACACCUAAGGGAUUUGUGAAGAUGGGGAAAGGUCAAAGAUUGAAUGCUCAAUAAUGAUAUGAUAGGAAAGUUGAUAGGAUGCAAUAAUCAAUUAAUUCCCUUAUAUUUGAUCAAUUUUUCAACCUUGGAUAGCUUAUUACUUGUUCGUUUUGGAUAUGUGUAUAGAUGUUGAGACAUGUCCAUCAUUCAUAGAAUGGUGUGACCCACAAAUUCAAGUGAGCCAUACAUUAGAGAGAGAGAGAGAGAGAGAGAGAGAGAGAGAGAGAGAGAGAAGGGAGAGUAAAAAAGCAACAAACUCUUAUCAGUAUGAAUCCUUAAUUAUACCUGUCAGGGAAAGGAACAUUCAAUCAAUCCACCUUUCAUUUUACUUAACUAUCCUAUUUGUGAAUUACCUAUUUGCUUGUGCAAAGAUAAGUGUACUGCUUUCUUGGAUUAAAUUGUUUAACUUCAGCCCCUAAAGUUUUUUUUUUUUUUUUUAAAUCUGGCCACUAGGUUUCGAACUUUUAUAUUUCGUUUCAAUUAGAUCACAAUCAUCUUCUGAAAUUCAUCAAUUUUGAUGAAAUCUUUGAGAACUUCUGUAAAGCCCUGACUAUUCAUAUAGAUAGCAGUCAUGGUCUGACUGACUAUUCAUAUAGAUAGCCGUCAUGGUCUGAAAGUGCUCGGUCAAUUUCCUUAUCUUAUCUUUUAAGAUUUUGAAAUAGUUUGGUAGCUGGUAUUCGUAUGUUCGAUUCGACGCCAAAAAUGUGGGGUAUUUCAAACGAAACAAUAGGUGUCGUGUACGAGACCGAGGUAGUCAUAAAUUUGGAGUACGACAAUGCGGUUGCUGAGAUCGGACUUGAUGCGAUGUGCGAUAUGUGCGCGCGCGUUCGAUUUUCUAGACGGCAGUGAGGGUGGUGAGAUUAGGUCGAGGUGGUCCUUCAAACUUCCACACGUCCCAUCUUGUGGGAGCGCAGUAUGUAUCAAGAAACUUAAGCACGUCUUUCCUCUAGCUCUUGUUUGUUGUAGCAGGUCUUAGUUUCGUUUGAUAAGUCUCUCCUUUUUAGGGUCUUCUUAGGUCUUGAAUUGCUAAGAGCUAAGAAUUGACAUAAACAUAUAUAGAUAUAGUUUUGUGAACAGGCAAAAUUAUUCCUGAACUAUGUCCGAAGAUCUAUUUUUUCCACUAUUCUCUAGUAACUUAAUCAUUUAUUUCAAAUGGUACCAGAGUAAGUCUUGAGUUCAUAAUCGGGAUCAGAACUUAUCGAAUGAUGGGGUAUUCAAAUUGAGAAGAAAUCGAGGGUAGAUUGAUGGGCAUUCCGCGACAAACUUUGUUAGUUUGGUCUAGACAAUAAUUGUGAGAUUUAAUCAGAGCCUGCAAUUCAGUGAACGGUUAGGAUUUAACACAUCAAGGGCACAUCGAAAUGAAUUCGAGUACCAAAGAGGUAGGAACCUUUCCAUUCGUUUACUGGUGGAGUUUUCUUCUUUCUUUGUUGUUGAGAAACGUUGAAUCUGUUAAAUUCCUGCAAAAUAAAAGUUAACAUGCUUGAUAGAACACAUUCUUAUCCAAAAGCUUAAGCACGCGAGUUAAAUUACCGUAGGAUGAUUUCCAAUAACUUAGAUUGUAGAGACCUGCGGCCCGUUUGGACUAUGCAGGGCAUUUGCCCGAUGCUAUUUAGGACUUGUUUGGCUCUGCUUUGGCUUCUGCUAUUUACAGCGACAUAUAAAACUUCUACUAGAUAAUGUAAUACGAAAGAAAAAAUGAUUACAGUAGUGUAUAAACUAUGCCAGAACCUGGAAAAUUAAGCAAUUAGUCUGAAGAGAAGUGCAACAUGAUACAAUGAGGAGAGAUACCAAUAAGAGAGAUUUCAUGAAACAGUUGCAGAAUCUUUCACAUUGCGAACCGAUAACCUGACCGCAUGAAAAGAUAUUUGAUUCAUGAACCUACCAUAGUCGUAGACGCAAAUUCGCAGAUUGAAAAUUUCCAUGCAGGUUGGCUCUUGAUCUAAAAGAGGCAAAAGAUCAUUUCAGGUAAUUUCUACAACUUUAUCAAACAAAAACAGGAAAAGAAGUUUGAAUCACCAACAAUCCUCAACAAACUAUAUUCCGACCCUGUUGCAUCUUUAUGCUCCUACAAACUAAGUAAACAUCUAUUGAGCUAUGCAAUUUUAUAGUAGUCACAUACAUAACAUGUGAAUCAAUGAAUCACCAAAAAUCCUUACAGGAGCAUGAUCCUCCUCUGAAAUGGUGAAACCUUUUACCAUCGCGAACAACAAUCUCCCGCUCGUAGAUCUUAGAUAUAAGCUUUAUCGCGACAUGACAAUCCAUGCAGAUUCUAAGAUUCUUAAAUAUCCUUAUUGUCGUUCCGGGCUUUGUUUUUGUGAAGCAAAAUGCAAUGGCCAAUUUUUCGCUAUGAAGCGAGAGCGCCAUCUCCUUCCCUUCUUCAUCCAAGUCAAGGAACACCGCUUCAGUGCUCCCUACAUACCCUGCUAAUCUUAGCCUCUCCAUUAUCUCAUCAAGCAUCAUGUAUAUCGCCCACGUAUCAGGGUGCGACCGAUCUCCCACAAAGAACUCAUGAAUGCGUCCGUCCACCUCGACGAGACUACACCCGGGAGUCUUCUUAACACCCAAUUCAUCCAUUAGAGCUCGCACUUUCUUUACGUCAUCAAACCUACGCAUUUUGGCAUACACAUUGGAGAGGAGGAUGUAAGCUGAGGAGUUGGUCGGCUCCAACUCCGCCAACUGUUUGGCGGCGGCCUCGGAAGUGCUUAUGUCCCCGAGCUUCUGGGAACCACUCAAAAGAGCUCCCCAGAUCAGUGCGUCGGGCUUCAUGGGCAUCGUGUUCGCCACAUCCCAUGCUUUGCUAAUGAGACCUGAUUUCGCAUAGAGAUCCACCAUGCAACCGUAGUGCUCGAUCGUGGGUUCGAUCCCGAACUCCUCUCUCAUUCGGAAGAAGUACUCUUCUCCAUUCUUCACCAACCCGCCGUGGGUGCAGCCCGAGAGCAACCCCAAGAACGUGACGCUGUUAGGCGUAACACCUAAUCCGAUCAUUCUCUCGAACAGAUCGAUGCAAUCGUGCACAUGACCGUGCAUAGCGAGCCCGGAUAUCAUCGCGGUCCACGCCGUGACAUCUUUUCUAUCGCCCAUUCUAUCGAACACCUCGAGGGCUCUCUCCAAGGACCCGCAUUUGCAAUACAUAUCGACCAAGGACGUGCCGAGCACCGCGUCGAGCGCCAUGCCGCGGCGCUCCGCGUACGCGUGCGCCCACUCGCCCUGCUCGAGCGCGCCGAGCUUGGCGCACGCGUAGAGCACGCUCGUGAGGGUGUGUCUGUUGGGCUGGGCGGCGGCGCCGCUCUCCAGCAUGGCGCGGAACACGCGGAGCGCGCCCCGGCAGUCGCCGCGCCUGGCGAGGCCGUGGAUGACGCAGGUCCAGGUGACCACGUCCCGCCGGGGCAUUUGGUCGAACAGGCGGAGGGCGCGGUCGAGGGGGCCGGAGCGGAGGUGGGCGGCGAGGAGGGAGUUGAAGGAGGCGAGGUCGGGGAGGCGGGC
rnacentral:lncRNA from 1 species